ensembl:lncRNA
CACACAUAUAUAUCAUUAUAUACAUAUAUAUAAAGCUGCUAUAUAUGAAUACAGUCUAACUGGAAAGCUUUUGUUCAAUGAACACUUUCAUAUUCUAGUGGAUAAUUUGGUAUAUUUGUUGAGUUGAAUGACCUUUUAAUUAGGUUUGAGGAUGUUUGAGAUUUUUGAAUUUGGGGAAAUUUUUUUGUUUUAAUAGUGCUGUUUGUGAUAUGACAAAAGCCCUUAUUGAUAUAUUUGGGUUACAUCUUCUUAAAAUUUGUAUGUGAGUUAGCAGCAGAUUUUCUUCGUGAUAAAUGCAGGAAGCGAGGGGGAAAUCUUCUCCAGUUUACACUCCUUUAUUUAAAAUAAUGUUUAAUAAAGUAUUGCUGACAGUAACAUCAAUUCCCCAAAGAAGAGACUCCUAUAUCCCCUGACUAAUGAUUAUUUAACAUACUGGUUAGAAAUGUCACCGUUAAUGAUCACCGUUAGUCGGGGGGCGUCGUGUAAGCUACAGAUACGCGUGCAGUCUUUCAAUGAAGGAGGUGCAAGCAGUCAGCCCCAGGGCAUGCGUCUGUCUGUUGCCUAGAGUACGGGAAGUCCUGAAUGGUGGCUGUGUCAGUGUUUGCAGCUUGGUUAUCCUCCUUGUAGAGCUUACUGUUUACUGAACAGUGUUAGAGUGGGUUACCCAGUGUACUUUCUUAGUAUUUGCAGCAUACAUUUCCACUGCCCAAAAAAAAGUGUAAGGGUUUUGUUUGUGCUUUAAGUGAGAAAUAAAGAAAUAAGCUGCCCUCUAGAUCAUGUGUUUGUGAUGUAAGGAACAGGAAUAAUUUUAAAUCAAACAAUGUUGUUGGACAGAGUCUUUAGAGAACCUCUAACGAAGAUGAGGAGAGUGGGGCUGCCAUGUUCACGUGCCCAGGCUGACACUUAAAUGCCAACCAGCUUAGUUUCGUAAACGUUUUUGGUGGAUCCACUGUGUAUAGAGUGCUGUGCCGAGUGUUUUCUAUAGAAAGUACAAGGAUGACCACGAGGGGAUUCCUCCCUUGUCCACCAGGAGCUAGCAAGAUGAUCUAAAUCCUUAAAAGUUUGGGACGACAUUUUGCUUCCUGAUUCUAGUUGAGAGUUUAAGUCCUGUUUUUUCCCUCAAAUUCUGAUUUUCCCACUUUAUCCAUCAAAUGGAAUUUCAGUAACUGAGAUAUCAUUGCUGUGACAUACUGAAGAGAAUACUAGAAUCUAAGCCAGUGACAUAGAUUUGAAUCCAGGCCUUGUCACUUGUCGAAUUCUUGUUUAUGAAUGGCAAAGCAGUGCACACUUGACAGUAAAUGAUCAAUAGAUAGUCAUUAGAAUUUUUUAAUCACAUUUUGCAUUACCAGUAGAAAAUAUUGUUUUGCAAAACUCGUCUGUUUUCUUCCAUUUCCACAUUUCCCCUACAUAUAUUUUAAGAAGGAAACUAAAAAAUUUUUCUUAUAAUCUUGCUUUCUUUACCUCCACAUCUUUAUUUUUAAAAUCAGCAGAUAUUUAUCUAAGAGCACUUUUGGGAGUUGGUGGUGUGGAAAUGGCCUGGGCAAGCAGGAUUAAAUUAGGAGUGCAUUUACCAGUACUAAAAUGGGAAAGGGGUAAAGGCAGCCAGUAUUCACCCCUUUACCUUGUCCUGCUUACUUCUAGUAGAGUCAGCCAACAUUCAUUGAGUCUCUGCUACACGUGACUUACCAUCCUUGUUUUAGGGAUGGGCAAGUGUCUCCCCUAUAGGUCCACCUUCUUCCUCCACCCUGGGAAUUGAGUUUCGUGGUGUAGUGCCAAUUCUGUAGGAAAACAGCACUGGGCUUCACUAUCUACCAAGUCCUUCCUUCCAUCGGCCAAAGAUGCAUAAGCCCUCGUUGUAGUUUGUUUGCUUGUUAACUUAAAAGGUAAUACUGUUAUUUUUAAUUUAUGUCCAUUUUAUAAUUCAGGAAGCAACAAGAUGCUAAGAGUACUUUCUGAAGUAGUCUUAAACUACUACACUCUUGGAGCCGUUAACAGAUUUUUCUCUCAUCAAGUCUUGAUCAGAAUCUCUUCAAAGACUCAUUACUUGUUUGUAAGAUGUGAAGAGUGUGGAAAGUUACUGAAGAAAUUCCAGUGCAGAGAAGUUUGGCAACACUUCAUGGGUGCCUGGGCAAAUUGCUGUUUUUUUCUCAUAAUCAGGGAUGAGAAUUUUAGUGGUUAAAGUUGACUAGUAGUUGAACGGUCUCAGAAUUUCCCUUCAGUUCCAGUCCUUUUUAUAAAGUCUUGAAAGGACACUCUCCAGGAUAAAAAGGACAUUAUUUAGUUAAAGAUGAUAAAGUUUUUCAAAGAUGUGGUAGCAUUUUGUAGCAGAGGGAAGUUUAAAGGCAGGAGGAAAUGUUGGAGGGGUAAGGCGUAUGUGAUGAAGUUCCCACAUUGUGUGAACACCGCCUCCCCCUUCUGUGAGGACUGUGGACCACACUGUGUGAGGCUGUGGACUGCGUGUUUACAAAAUGCUGUGUUUCUUUAUGUGUGAGACUUAACUUACACAGAGCAUUUGGAACCGUAUUACAUUGGUGUGUGUGUGGUGGUAGGUUUGCUCUGCUAACUGGAAAAUCUCUUCAGUGUGGGCCAUACGAUGUUUCUGAGGAGGCUACUGAAGGAGUUAUCUAAAAAUGUAUUUGUGAAUUUGUUUGGGGGAAGUGAUGCUUAAUAUAUACAGUACUUUCUGUAAAUGUGGAGAUGUACCAGUUACGACUUUAUUAAAUUAGUGGAAACACCCAAAUUUCUGAGUGAACUGAGCUAUGAACCGUAACCAUCUCCUCCCGUGAGUUAGGGACUCACUUUCACAUUCAUUGCACAUUUGUGGAAUUUCUAUAAUAGCCCUUUCUUGAUUUUGAGAACUAUUUAGCAGUUUCUUAAAAAAUCUCCUUCUCCCUUCCAUACAGAUGUCAUAUGUUAUAGUUGAAACAUAUGUACAGUUUGUUGAUAGAAUCAGAAGUGCUGGUUUAGAAGAGAAUGUUCUCAACACCUUAUGGUUAUGCAGCUAUAAUCUUACUGAAAAGUAAACACUAUAGGCAAGUCAAGAGAGCAUGAACCGCUUACAUAUUUUUUUACAUUAUGUACUGCACCCAUAUAAUGUAGAUCUCCCCUCAGUGGUAACGUGACUGCCCCCUUUUGGGGGAUGUAUUUAGGUAUGUCACUGAAAUUGGAAAGCAGUGUAACAUAAAUAUAUAGGAACUAUAAUGCAUAAUCUCCAUAACUGCAACACUUUUUCUCCUAAAUAUAUUUUAUAUUGCUAAUUUCUAAAAAUCAUCACUUUUUUAGAGCCCUGUAUAAAUGAACGUUAAAUCUAUAGUACUACUGAUGAUGAAAUGUUUCCUUUGUUUUUAAAUUAUUUUUACAUCAUCACUAAUUAUCUUGGGGAAGGAACAUUUUAAAGUUUUCUCCACAGAAGCAAGAUAGAGGCACUUGUUUGAGUAGUAGAAAUGAUUUACUUUCAGUGCUGGGUGAGGUAAUAAUUGUUAACACUUUUUUAGUAUUUGUGAUACUGGAUGCAUUUACAAUGGAGGAAUUUUUUUAAACUCUGGCCCUCUCCCCAACACACAUGCAUGUGUGCGCACACACACAUACUUACAUGAGCCCUACCCAUUUAGAUGAUCAGUAUAAAAUUCCACAGUAUUUUUCGUUUAGGUCAUAUAACUUGGUAAAAUUCAUAUGAUUCUAACAUAAAGUAUUAACCCCUGACUCUAGUCAUUCUAGGAUGAGGGGAUCAACUUUCUUUUAAAGUUAACCAACUAAAAUGUCUCUAUUUAAAUAGCAAAAAUAUAGUUUACCUGAUAGGUAUUAAAACUCACUUUCAAGCUGUGUUAACUCUCAGACUACUGAUGAAUCAUUUAGUGAACCACAGUACCGUUUUCGAAAGCUAAAUGAUGCCUUAGUGCCUUGGAAGUUUAGAUCCUUUUGCAAAGUGAAUUUAGGGAGAUGCAGGAUCAGUUCACCUGUUACUGGGGAUUCAGAGUUAGGGUCAGUGUAAUUGAAUUAACUCCUUAUGGUUUAAUAAAUAUAAAUAUCAGUUAUUUCACCAUUGACUAUGACAGAUGACAACUACUUCCAUUGCAUUUUUAUAAUGUGGCAUUUGUCUCUAUUUUUUUUUUCCAAGUAAGUUUGAAAUGGGGAAAAACGUAGUUGAGAUAAUUAAAUGUGAGAUUUUAAAAUUUAGUUUUGUUGUAAACUAGAGAUGCUAGUGUGGACAGUGUUAGUUUUAUAUUGUAGUCCAAGGGCAGACACUUUAUGUAACCUUUAGGAAUAUGUUUACCAUCAGGGAUUUAUUUUUACUAUAGAAAUAUUUAACGUACUGUGAAGCUUAAAGACAGGAAGAACAAACAUGGAGGGGUAACGCGCAGCCGAGGCGUCUGUGAUGAAGCACCCUGCGUCAUGUGAACACAUCCUCCCUCUGUUAAGACUUUAAACUACACUGUAUGGGAAUAUCUUACUUGAAGUGGACAUCUUCAGUCAUAAUUACAUGCCAGUGUCGAUAGAAU